rnacentral:rRNA from 1 species
GUGUCAGCCGCCGCGGUAAUACGGAGGGUGCAAGCGUUAAUCGGAAUUACUGGGCGUAAAGCGCACGCAGGCGGUUUGUUAAGUCAGAUGUGAAAUCCCCGGGCUCAACCUGGGAACUGCAUCUGAUACUGGCAAGCUUGAGUCUCGUAGAGGGGGGUAGAAUUCCAGGUGUAGCGGUGAAAUGCGUAGAGAUCUGGAGGAAUACCGGUGGCGAAGGCGGCCCCCUGGACGAAGACUGACGCUCAGGUGCGAAAGCGUGGGGAGCAAACAGGAUUAGAUACCCUGGUAGUCCACGCCGUAAACGAUGUCGACUUGGAGGUUGUGCCCUUGAGGCGUGGCUUCCGGAGCUAACGCGUUAAGUCGACCGCCUGGGGAGUACGGCCGCAAGGUUAAAACUUAAAUGAAUUGGCGGGG